UGGGGAAUAUUGGACAAUGGAGGCAACUCUGAUCCAGCAAUUCUGUGUGUGUGAAGAAGGUUUUAGGACUGUAAAACACUUUUAGUAGGGAAGAAAAAAAUGACGGUACCUACAGAAGAAGCGACGGCUAAAUACGUGCCAGCAGCCGCGGUAAUACGUAUGUCGCGAGCGUUAUCCGGAAUUAUUGGGCUUAAAGGGCAUCUAGGCGGUAAGACAAGUUGAAGGUGAAAACCUGUGGCUCAACCAUAGGCUUGCCUACAAAACUGUUGAACUAGAGUACUGGAAAGGUGGGUGGAACUACACGAGUAGAGGUGAAAUUCGUAGAUAUGUGUAGGAAUGCCGAUGAUGAAGAUAACUCACUGGACAGAAACUGACGCUGAAGUGCGAAAGAUAGGGGAGCAAACAGG
rnacentral:rRNA from 1 species